AGAGUUUGAUCCUGGCUCAGGACGAACGCUGGCGGCGUGCCUAACACAUGCAAGUCGAGCGGGGAUAUAUGCUGGAGCGCUUCGGUGUGAAGGGAUAUAUCCUAGCGGCGGACGGGUGAGUAACGCGUGGGGAACCUGCCCUUAAGUUCGGGAUACCAACUCGAAAGGGUUGUUAAUACCGGAUGUGCUGCAUUGGCCGCAUGGCGGAUGUAGUAAAGGGGAGACCCGCUUAAGGAUGGCCCUGCGUUCCAUUAGCUAGUUGGUGGGGUAACGGCCUACCAAGGCGACGAUGGAUAGCCGGCCUGAGAGGGCGACCGGCCACACUGGGACUGAGACACGGCCCAGACUCCUACGGGGGGCAGCAGUGGGGAAUCUUGCACAAUGGGCGGAAGCCUGAUGCAGCGACGCCGCGUGAGGGACGAAGGUCUUCGGAUCGUAAACCUCUGUCCAAAGGGACGAAGGAGUGACGGUACCUUUGGAGGAAGCCCCGGCCAACUACGUGCCAGCAGCCGCGGUAAGACGUAGGGGGCGAGCGUUGUCCGGAAUCAUUGGGCGUAAAGGGCGCGUAGGCGGUGACGUAAGUCAGGCGUGAAAGGCAUCGGCUCAACCGACGCACAUAGCCUGAUACUACGUUGCUAGAGUGCAGGAGAGGAGAGUGGAAUUCCAGGUGUAGCGGUGAAAUGCGUAGAUAUCUGGAAGAACACCAGUGGCGAAGGCGGCUCUCUGGACUGUAACUGACGCUGAGGCGCGAAAGCUGGGGGAGCAAACAGGAUUAGAUACCCUGGUAGUCCCAGCCGUAAACGAUGAACACUAGGUGUAGGGGGUAUCGACCCCUCCUGUGCCGCAGUUAACGCAGUAAGUGUUCCGCCUGGGGAGUACGGCCGCAAGGCUGAAACUCAAAUGAAUUGACGG
rnacentral:rRNA from 1 species